rnacentral:rRNA from 1 species
CCUACGGGAGGCAGCAGUGAGGAAUAUUGGUCAAUGGACGAGAGUCUGAACCAGCCAAGUAGCGUGAAGGAUGACUGCCCUAUGGGUUGUAAACUUCUUUUAUAAAGGAAUAAAACGAGGCACGUGUGCCUUUUUGCAUGUACUUUAUGAAUAAGGAUCGGCUAACUCCGUGCCAGCAGCCGCGGUAAUACGGAGGAUCCUAGCGUUAUCCGGAUUUAUUGGGUUCAAAGGGAGCGUAGAUGGGUUGUUAAGUCAGUUGUGAAAGUUUGCGGCUCAACCGUAAAAUUGCAAUUGAUACUGGCAGUCGUGAGUACAGUUGAGGUAGGCGGAAUUCGUGGUGUAGCGGUGAAAUGCUUAGAUAUCACGAAGAACCCCGAUUGCGAAGGCAGCUUACUAAACUGUGACUGACAUUGAUGCUCGAAAGUGUGGGUAUCAAACAGGAGUAGAUACCCUAGUAGUC